CCUCUAUUUCUUGGCACAUGUGUGGUUGUUCAGUACUCAUGUGUGCAAUGUACGGAGGGAGAGAAGUGCCGGUGCUAUGUCUUCGGUGCCAGCAUGUUUAUUGUCUGCUGGUUCUAUCCUCAAUCACUGGGACACGC
ensembl:snoRNA Small nucleolar RNA SNORA57